CUUUGAUUUGGAAAAGAGCCACCAUGAUGCAGGCGUCCUGGAAAAAGAGGCUAAAGGCAGCCUCUGGUCUUUGAAGCCACAGGAGCCACAGGAGGGACUCUUGGGAGUUUUAUUUCCACCAUCAUGGAGGGGAGCGGUGAGAGGACCUUGCUAGGCCAGCCUUGAACUUGUGAUCCUCCUGCCUCAGCCUCCCAAAUGACUGGGACUGCUGGGUCUCCCUAAGUUGCUGAGGCUGGCCUCGAGCUCCUGAUCCUCCUGCCUUAGCCUCUCCUGUAGCUGGGUAACAGGAAGACUGACUUUGGAGAUGUCCCCAUCUCUGAACUACUCUGGCAGGAUGGUCUCAGCCAGUUGUUACCUGUGCCUGGGCUGCUAAGUUAUUGCAAGAAGUCGCUGUGUCUAUUUGCACACCAAAUACCGUCUGCCGACUAUGAUUGCAACAAGUUCCAGAAGGAAGAAGGAGUCCUCUUGGAGCAGGUUGGAAGCCACCGAGCGGGCCGUCAAGCCAGCAUGCCAUCUCCCUUGGGCCCAGGGGUGUCAUGAGACCUGAGGUCAAGUUUCAGCUUCUCCCCAGCUGGCUGGAUGAUCUUGGGGGCAGCCCCUCGUGACUGGGAGAGCUUCGGUUUCCUCAUCCUGGAGCAGAGAUCGUGAAAAUUAUCUGGCAGGAUUGUCAACAAGCUUAGAGGAGAUAAUGAAAGGACAGUGACGUCCAGAAAGUGAUGGACAGGUGUACAGGAGGUCCGUUGUCCUCUGCUUACACACGCUAUGGGCUGAAGGAUAGAGAUGGUGUCUUGGGUUUUCUUGUUCAGUCCUCCUAACGACAACGGCUCAUUCCUGUCAGCUCCUGUAUCCAACACAGGCCUGGGCAUAGAGAAGACCUCAGAAAAACACGGCCAAUGUUCACCCAGGAACUUAGCAAAUAGAAUCUGGGUGUGCACAAGCCACGCAUGGUGAGAGGGGCAGGGCCGUGCUGUGGUCCAGCGUGGGUCUUGGUGUGAAUCCUCUCCUGCCAUUUGCCAGGUGAGCAAUGUGACCUUGGGCAAGGUGAACACUAAUGUCCUCCUCUAGCACAGUGGUCACUGAUAAUCGGACCUAAUCCAGAAGGCUGUUGGAAGAGACAAAGAGGCUGGUUUGGUCUAGGCACUAAGGUCAGGAGCAGAUCAUGGGUGGUGGUGGUUAUUGUUUUGUUAUAUGCUGAGUGAUUCUUCCAAGAGGUGGCAUGAGAAGAUUCACAAACUGGAGGUGGGAGAUUUGGCUUCUGAUUCUGUUUUUGCACUACGAAGGAUUGAGUUGAGCUAUAUCCCCAGCCCUUUUUAUUUUGUUUUUAAAAUUUUGAGGCAGGUCUCACUAAGUUGUUGAGGCUGCCCUUGAACUUGGGAUCCUUCUGCCUCCCUCCAGAGUUACUGGGAUUACAGGAAAGCACCACCCCACCAGACUUGGGCUUCUGGUUUUGUUAAGAAUUGUCAAAGUCACCAGGUGUUCCGGCACGUGCCUGUAAUUCCAGCAAUCCCGGGGGCUGAGGCAGGAGGAUCACAAGUUCAAGGCCAGCCUCAGCAACUUAGAAAGACCCUAAGGAACUUAGUGAGACUCUGUCUCAAAAUAAAAUAUAAAACAAACUGGGCAUGUGGCUCCAUGGUUAAGUGCCCCUGGGUUCAAUCCCUGGUACAAAAAAGAAAAAAAAAGAAUUGUCAAGGUCUUCAAGGAUGGUAAGAUGCUUAGGACAGCCCUUGGGGUCAACACAAAAAAGGUAGCAAUAAAUAUGCUUGGACAUCAUUUCCCCCAGCUGUGGGCUAGAUUCCUAGGCUAGACAUUGUUGAGUAAGAGGUGUGCAUAUUUAACAUCUUGAACAAAUAUCACAACUGUCCAACAUGCAGAUGUUUCUGUUUGCACUGCCUGUCCACAGACAGAAUAACAGCCUCUCCUGCCCCAACCAGACCAUGUUUUAAGCUUAAAUUUCAUUAAUUUUGACUGGGUAAUAUUUGCAGACGGCACAAAAUUAAAAAAAAAAAAAAAAAGGGAACGAGCAUACAGUGAGACAUUGCCCCCUCCUGUCUCACCCGUCUAUGCUCCUCCCCAGGGACACAAACUUGGACAUUAGACUCUCCGGUAAGUGGAAAAUCAUAUCUCACUAAAUAAAUCUCUGUUAUUCUGAUGUGAAAACCAGUGUGUAUUAUGGAGUAGAAUGUUAUAUUUGAAUGAACUUUAAGAUAAAACAGGAGAUUUAAAGACAUUUUAUGCUCAGGGGUAGGGCCAGGAGGGCACUGUUACUGGCUCUGUCUCUUGCCUUCUCUGGGAGGAAAACUUGGUACAGUUCUUUUUUUAAAUUAUUUUGGUAUCAGGGAUUGAACUCAGGGACACUCAACCACUAAGCCACA